rnacentral:lncRNA from 1 species
GAUUCCUGCAGUUUGAGGAAAGGAAUCUUUAUCGUGUGUGGCAGAAAGGGUGUGCCAUGUUCAUUUUCAGUCUUGUUCCAGGAUUUACAGCAGGUACACCUGUGCCUUUUCUUGACAGUGAAGUUUUAAAUAUAGGAAAUCCUCAGUCAUCACUUUGCCACUUUGAGGUAUGACCUCUUCUCGUAGCAAUGAGUUAGAGCGUGCUUACUAGAAGGGAUGAAAAUCAAACCACGCUCUUGGAAUCACUGUGUUACCCUGCCUUUUUUUUUUUAAUUUUGUGUAUCGAAAUGGUUGCAUCCUUGGGACUUGAGCCUUACUAGCCUGAGCUGCCUCUCUUGCAGGGGAGGUGCGUAGUACAGGACCGCAUCUCGAGGGCUCCCUGCGUGUGUGCUCUGUGCUUCAGGAUAUGGGCACCUGGAGACUGAAGACUUGGAGGAGAGAUGCAAGAUGUGAUUUCAAAGCAUCAAAAAAAGAAUGCUGAUUUCACCAAUGAAGUGGCUAAUCAUAAGAGCUCAGAAGCAGACAUUUCAAAGUGUCUCAGACCUAAAAGGAAAAGAAGGCCUUGGAAUGUUCAGAAGAGGCUUCUGACUGGCCUGGAACCAAUCCCUUAGGCCCUGAGGGAGGACGAUUCUGUAUCAGCCAUAUAAAUGUUAGAUUUUAUUGCAUAUCUGUAUGGGCAGAGCAAAGAGCAGACCAGAUGAACCGGGUGCCGGUGGUGGGGGAAAGCAUGCAUGAGGAUGUUUCUUGUGGACCAGACGUGAGUCCCCAAGGAGAGAAAGCUGUUCCGGAGCCACUUUAAAUCCUGUUUGAGAGGAUACUGCCACAGGGGAUAGACUCCUGGAUUUACAGGGACAGAAGGACCAAACAUGGCUGCUGGAGGAAAUGUUAUUGCUGCUGUCUCUAUAAGUGGAGUCAGUUGUUCUCAGACUAGACUGAGCCACACGUGCCAUCCAAAGAAAGGAGUCAGCAGUAGCCAUGCCUCCCAGUGAGAGAGAACUGACUUCCGCAACUGCUGGAAGAAACCAGCACCGGAUUAUUCUUUUUCUGCCAUUUACCUUUCUUAUUGCUCCAAACCUGCCUAAAUCAGAGUUAGAAACUGAGUUGGGGGGAGAAGCAGUAAGGUAGGGAAAUUGAGAAGCCUCCUGAGCUUCUCGAACCUAGGAGAGGCAAGACACUUUAACGUUAAAAAAUAAAAUUCAGGCUUUAGAAAAUUGCACUAGGCUGGACAUAUUUAUUACUGUUCUUACGCUUGAAAGUGAAUGGAGAUCUUUUUAUUACCUCAUAGUGAUUAAAGAAGUUAUGGACUUUAUCAGAGAUCUCAUGCAGGGAUAGGAAAAUAACUAGGCUCAGAAUGAGUUUAAAGGUCAGUAGGGCAAAGAAUAAAGUUGUUUUCUGAUUGAGCCAAAUGGUCUUGAAUGUUCAGCUUAGUAAAAAAAAAAUCAAGUAACACAUAGUAUGUAGAACCAGCUUUUCUUGACUCUACUUACUUUAAAGAUGAGCAGAAAAAAGGACUUUCUGAGUAUGUGAAAGAUUUCACUAAAGUAAGUAAAUGCAGUUGUGUGUAGUUUUAGAAGUAUCAGAUAGUACAAAAUUGAGUCUUGCUGCAGAAACAAAGCUUCUUCAUUGGCACUGGGGCUGCUGCCACGCCCUCAGUCACCUGUCUGUAGUUUUCAGAAAGUGCCUCUCACCUCCCGUGAGGCUUGGCUCAGGCAGUAGCUAAGCCUCUGAUGAGAGUCUUUUCCUGCUUUGGGG